UACGUAGGCAGCGAGCGUUGUUCGGAAUUACUGGGCGUAAAGCGUGCGCAGACGGUUGCGUAAGUCAGAUGUGAAAGCCCCGGGCUCAACCUGGGAAUUGCAUUUGAGACUGCGUAGCUAGGGUGCGGAAGAGGGAAGCGGAAUUUCCGGUGUAGCGGUGAAAUGCGUAGAUACCGGAAGGAACACCAGUGGCGAAAGCGGCUUCCUGGUCCAGCACCGACGUUCAGGCACGAAAGCGUGGGGAGCAAACAGG
rnacentral:rRNA from 1 species